AGUGCCACCGUGCACGAGCUACUUGGCGCUGGGCCAGUGUCGGCGACUCCCCUUGUGGAGUCGGCGACACAGAGCCUGGCUAUUGUAGUCGCACGGCCGCCUCUUGAGCCUGGGGAGAUCUCCGUGGCCUCUGUGUCGGCGACUCCCAAUGUGGAGUCGGCGACUCAUGAAGGCCCUGUCAGAGGGAGAUGCUUCAGGCGAAAGGGGCAGGCUU
rnacentral:lncRNA from 1 species